rnacentral:rRNA from 1 species
AUUGAACGCUGGCGGCAUGCUUUACACAUGCAAGUCGAACGGCAGCGGGGGCUUCGGUCCGCCGGCGAGUGGCGAACGGGUGAGUAAUGCAUCGGAACGUGCCCAGUCGUGGGGGAUAACACAUCGAAAGAUGUGCUAAUACCGCAUACGUCCUGAGGGAGAAAGCGGGGGAUCUUCGGACCUCGCGCGAUUGGAGCGGCCGAUGUCGGAUUAGCUAGUUGGUGGGGUAAAGGCCCACCAAGGCGACGAUCCGUAGCGGGUCUGAGAGGAUGAUCCGCCACACUGGGACUGAGACACGGCCCAGACUCCUACGGGAGGCAGCAGUGGGGAAUUUUGGACAAUGGGGGCAACCCUGAUCCAGCCAUGCCGCGUGAGUGAUGAAGGCCCUAGGGUUGUAAAGCUCUUUCAGUGGGGAAGAUAAUGACGGUACCCACAGAAGAAGCACCGGCUAACUACGUG